rnacentral:lncRNA from 1 species
GUGCUCUUUAGGAAUGUAGAAACUAUAAUGCUAUUUCCACAGAUGGAUAUAUACAGGAGUUAAGUGGAGAUCGAGUCCAAUUAAUAAUGUUAAUGGUUCCAUCAAUUAUAGAGCCCAUUAACCAAAUCAAGCCUACACCAAUAUCUGCUACAUUACAUAACUAAAAUAAUAGGGACUAAAUAAUAAUACAAUCAAAGAUAAUUAUGUGCUCCUUAACCAUUUAUUUAGACAAUAACUUAGCUCAUAUUUCAUAACAAACUAUGGCCUCUUCCUUCUCUCUGCUUCAACUAGAACUGCCAGCAUGCCUAUUGGACUUUGUUGCUCGGUUGAGUAGCAGGUUGAGCCUCAAAUUUGUGGCUCUGUUUUCCCUUAUUUGAGCAAAUCUAAGGCUUUUAGCCUCUUUUAUUUUUCUAGUAGCCAUCCAUCUAACCAGUAUUAUUUUCUCCUGUCUCUUUCACAUCCUCUCUCUUUUUAUCUCUUCUAUACUUAUUUGAUGAUUUAUGUAGAUCAAGGGGAGACUGUAGGUGUAAUUGACUCAAGUGACAGACCCC